rnacentral:rRNA from 1 species
ACUCCUACGGGAGGCAGCAGUGGGGAAUAUUGGACAAUGGGCGGAAGCCUGAUCCAGCCAUGCCGCGUGUGUGAAGAAGGCCUUAUGGUUGUAAAGCACUUUAAGCGAGGAGGAGGCUACUCUAGUUAAUACCUAGAGAUAGUGGACGUUACUCGCAGAAUAAGCACCGGCUAACUCUGUGCCAGCAGCCGCGGUAAUACAGAGGGUGCGAGCGUUAAUCGGAUUUACUGGGCGUAAAGCGUGCGUAGGCGGCUGAUUAAGUCGGAUGUGAAAUCCCUGAGCUUAACUUAGGAAUUGCAUUCGAUACUGGUCAGCUAGAGUAUGGGAGAGGAUGGUAGAAUUCCAGGUGUAGCGGUGAAAUGCGUAGAGAUCUGGAGGAAUACCGAUGGCGAAGGCAGCCAUCUGGCCUAAUACUGACGCUGAGGUACGAAAGCAUGGGAGCAAACAGGAUUAGAUACCCCUGGUAGCGACUGA